rnacentral:tRNA from 1 species
AAGGGAGACCUAAUUCAGGUAGGAGACGAAAAAAAAGUAGUCGCUACCAAGAAUCAAUCCCAAAAGGUCGGAGCGAGGCAAAAUUGGCUUUCAAACUAGGUUCUGGGUUCACACAAGACCUGAAUCAGGAACAAGGGCUAUUAGCUCAGGUGGUUAGAGCGCACCCCUGAUAAGGGUGAGGUCCCUGGUUCGAGUCCAGGAUGGCCCACCUGCACAGGUGGCAAAAACAAAGAAAAAAAGCUCCGAAUCAGCACCUUAUCUUACUUAUAUAGUAAGAGAGAAUGCUGGCUCUGAGUACAGAGUCCAGAGGAACCUUGAAAACUGCAUAGAGCUAGGUGAAAAAGCCAAAAAAGAAGACCGCAA